rnacentral:snoRNA from 1 species
UGCCGCUGUUUGUUGUGCAAUACCAACCUACGUGAGCGAAAAACGACGCUUUGACUGCUGGCAACUG